rnacentral:rRNA from 1 species
CGCGGACGGGUGAGUAACGCGUGGGGUAACCUGCCUCAUACAGGGGAUAACAGUUAGAAAUGACUGCUAAUACCGCAUAAGCGCACAGGACCGCAUGGUCCGGUGUGAAAAACUCCGGUGGUAUGAGAUGGACCCGCGUCUGAUUAGUUAGUUGGCGGGGUAACGGCCCACCAAGGCGACGAUCAGUAGCCGGCCUGAGAGGGUGAACGGCCACAUUGGGACUGAGACACGGCCCAGACUCCUACGGGAGGCAGCAG